ACUCCUACGGGAGGCAGCAGUGGGAAUCUUAGACAAUGGGGGAAACCCUGAUCUAGCCAUGCCGCGUGAGUGACGAAGGCCCUAGGGUCGUAAAGCUCUUUCGCUGGGGAAGAUAAUGACUGUACCCAGUAAAGAAACCCCGGCUAACUCCGUGCCAGCAGCCGCGGUAAUACGGAGGGGUUAGCGUUGUUCGGAAUUACUGGGCGUAAAGCGCGCGUAGCGGACUAUUAAGUCAGAGGUGAAAUCCCGGGGCUCAACCCCGAACUGCCUUGAUACUGGUAGUCUUGAGUUCGAGAGAGGUGAGUGGAAUUGCGAGUGUAGAGGUGAAAUUCGUAGAU
rnacentral:rRNA from 1 species